rnacentral:lncRNA from 1 species
GUCUUGGAAGGUUAACGCAAAAACAUAAAAUAGUAGUCACAUUUUAAACUUCACUAAGCUGCUGCAUCACUUAAAAACCUUGGCAAACGCGUCUAUCCUUCUUGGGCCUGGACGAUUUUAAGAGUAACUCCCCCACCGCGUCCUCUUAAAGGCCACCGCUAGUCUCCGUCCUCCUUCUCACUCCCACACACUUGAAUUGAGCGCUGUGUCUUUAAGGGGGAAGCGGAGGUUUCCGUUCGGGACAAAAUGUCUGCGAGGAGCCUGUAGGGGAUGGGCGAUCAGGACUCGCGACCCGCAGGGAACUCCCGCCCGUAGGGGACUCCCGCCCGUGUCGCGGGCCUCACGAUACAUGAAUACAUGGCAGCAACCUAAUAGGUCAACAGAGAUGAACAGAUAACAAUGAACUGUGAUUUCCUGACAUUUCAGUGGCCAAAGCUAAUUAUUUCUUUUACUUAUUGUAUUCUACUUUGGUUUGUCACUGGUGGAUGGAAUAAAUGAAAAUCUUUCUUAGUGUUUUCACACAGUCUGUAUAAAUUUCACAUUAGUGUGGACUUCUCACCUAAUCCAGAGCUCAACCAACAAGUAUAUUUGUGUUUCUCCCUGACUAAUCCAACUAAAGUGAUUAGCCAUGACUGCAGAAGGACAAAUGGAGCUAUAAUUCAGUUGUUCUUUUGAGAACAUUAUUUGGUUCUUUGGUCUUUAGCAUGCUUAAUAUUUUUUAUGGGUUUAAGCAUAAAUAUAUAAAAUAAAAUUAGCUUUCAUAGGGAGUUCAUAGGAUGACUACACAUAUUAAAGCAAUGUGGGUCUGAGAUAAAUGUCUUCUUAAGAAAAGAAUGCUUUACAAUUUAUAUUUUUUAAAAUGCAUUAAUAAGGGAUGGGGGUAUGUGUA